CCUAACGUUGAAUCAUACAAUGUUCAUUUUGAGAUCCAUACAUCCCAACCUCCUUUUGUGCAUUUAUAUGAAUUUGAAACGAUGAUCGUACAAUUUAAUGAUAGAUAUCAUAAAAAAAAUUAUUUAUUUUUUCGUGCAAAAGAUGCAAGCUAAACCUCUAGUAUGGCGGUCAAGGAGAAGAGGGUAUGUUGGCCGGGUCAAC
rnacentral:lncRNA from 1 species